GGUUAAGCGACUAAGCGUACACGGUGGAUGCCCUGGCAGUCAGAGGCGAUGAAGGGCGUGCUAAUCUGCGAUAAGCGCCGGUAAGGUGAUAUGAACCGUUAUAACCGGCGAUACCCGAAUGGGGAAACCCAGUGUGACUCGUCACACUAUCAUUAACUGAAUCCAUAGGUUAAUGAGGCGAACCGGGGGAACUGAAACAUCUAAGUACCCCGAGGAAAAGAAAUCAACCGAGAUUCCCCCAGUAGCGGCGAGCGAACGGGGAGGAGCCCAGAGCCUGAAUCAGCAUGUGUGUUAGUGGAAGCGUCUGGAAAGGCGCGCGAUACAGGGUGACAGCCCCGUACACAAAAGCGCAUGUGUUGUGAGCUCGAUGAGUAGGGCGGGACACGUGGUAUCCUGUCUGAAUAUGGGGGGACCAUCCUCCAAGGCUAAAUACUCCUGACUGACCGAUAGUGAACCAGUACCGUGAGGGAAAGGCGAAAAGAACCCCGGCGAGGGGAGUGAAAAAGAACCUGAAACCGUGUACGUACAAGCAGUGGGAGCACAGGUUUACCUGUGUGACUGCGUACCUUUUGUAUAAUGGGUCAGCGACUUAUAUUCUGUAGCAAGGUUAACCGUAUAGGGGAGCCGGAGGGAAACCGAGUCUUAAUUGGGCGUUAAGUUGCAGGGUAUAGACCCGAAACCCGGUGAUCUAGCCAUGGGCAGGUUGAAGGUUGGGUAACACUAACUGGAGGACCGAACCGACUAAUGUUGAAAAAUUAGCGGAUGACCUGUGGCUGGGGGUGAAAGGCCAAUCAAACCGGGAGAUAGCUGGUUCUCCCCGAAAGCUAUUUAGGUAGCGCCUCGUGAAUUCAUCUCCGGGGGUAGAGCACUGUUUCGGCUAGGGGGCCAUCCCGGCUUACCAACCCGAUGCAAACUGCGAAUACCGGAGAAUGUUAUCACGGGAGACACACGGCGGGUGCUAACGUCCGUCGUGAAGAGGGAAACAACCCAGACCGCCAGCUAAGGUCCCAAAGUCAUGGUUAAGUGGGAAACGAUGUGGGAAGGCCCAGACAGCCAGGAUGUUGGCUUAGAAGCAGCCAUCAUUUAAAGAAAGCGUAAUAGCUCACUGGUCGAGUCGGCCUGCGCGGAAGAUGUAACGGGGCUAAACCAUGCACCGAAGCUGCGGCAGCGACACUCAGGGUGUUGUUGGGUAGGGGAGCGUUCUGUAAGCCUGCGAAGGUGGCCUGUGAGGGUUGCUGGAGGUAUCAGAAGUGCGAAUGCUGACAUAAGUAACGAUAAAGCGGGUGAAAAGCCCGCUCGCCGGAAGACCAAGGGUUCCUGUCCAACGUUAAUCGGGGCAGGGUGAGUCGACCCCUAAGGCGAGGCCGAAAGGCGUAGUCGAUGGGAAACGGGUUAAUAUUCCCGUACUUGGUGUUACUGCGAAGGGGGGACGGAGAAGGCUAUGUUGGCCGGGCGACGGUUGUCCCGGUUUAAGCGUGUAGGUGUGUGUUCCAGGUAAAUCCGGUUCACUUUAACACUGAGGCGUGACGACGAGGCACUACGGUGCUGAAGCAACAAAUGCCCUGCUUCCAGGAAAAGCCUCUAAGCAUCAGGUAACAUCAAAUCGUACCCCAAACCGACACAGGUGGUCAGGUAGAGAAUACCAAGGCGCUUGAGAGAACUCGGGUGAAGGAACUAGGCAAAAUGGUGCCGUAACUUCGGGAGAAGGCACGCUGACACGUAGGUGAAGUGAUUUACUCACGGAGCUGAAGUCAGUCGAAGAUACCAGCUGGCUGCAACUGUUUAUUAAAAACACAGCACUGUGCAAACACGAAAGUGGACGUAUACGGUGUGACGCCUGCCCGGUGCCGGAAGGUUAAUUGAUGGGGUCAGCGCAAGCGAAGCUCCUGAUCGAAGCCCCGGUAAACGGCGGCCGUAACUAUAACGGUCCUAAGGUAGCGAAAUUCCUUGUCGGGUAAGUUCCGACCUGCACGAAUGGCGUAAUGAUGGCCAGGCUGUCUCCACCCGAGACUCAGUGAAAUUGAACUCGCUGUGAAGAUGCAGUGUACCCGCGGCAAGACGGAAAGACCCCGUGAACCUUUACUAUAGCUUGACACUGAACAUUGAGCCUUGAUGUGUAGGAUAGGUGGGAGGCUUUGAAGUGUGGACGCCAGUCUGCAUGGAGCCGACCUUGAAAUACCACCCUUUAAUGUUUGAUGUUCUAACGUGGACCCGUAAUCCGGGUUGCGGACAGUGUCUGGUGGGUAGUUUGACUGGGGCGGUCUCCUCCUAAAGAGUAACGGAGGAGCACGAAGGUUGGCUAAUCCUGGUCGGACAUCAGGAGGUUAGUGCAAUGGCAUAAGCCAGCUUGACUGCGAGCGUGACGGCGCGAGCAGGUGCGAAAGCAGGUCAUAGUGAUCCGGUGGUUCUGAAUGGAAGGGCCAUCGCUCAACGGAUAAAAGGUACUCCGGGGAUAACAGGCUGAUACCGCCCAAGAGUUCAUAUCGACGGCGGUGUUUGGCACCUCGAUGUCGGCUCAUCACAUCCUGGGGCUGAAGUAGGUCCCAAGGGUAUGGCUGUUCGCCAUUUAAAGUGGUACGCGAGCUGGGUUUAGAACGUCGUGAGACAGUUCGGUCCCUAUCUGCCGUGGGCGCUGGAGAACUGAGGGGGGCUGCUCCUAGUACGAGAGGACCGGAGUGGACGCAUCACUGGUGUUCGGGUUGUCAUGCCAAUGGCACUGCCCGGUAGCUAAAUGCGGAAGAGAUAAGUGCUGAAAGCAUCUAAGCACGAAACUUGCCCCGAGAUGAGUUCUCCCUGAGACUUAGAGUCUCCUGAAGGAACGUUGAAGACGACGACGUUGAUAGGCCGGGUGUGUAAGCGCAGCGAUGCGUUGAGCUAACCGGUACUAAUGAACCGUGAGGCUUAACCUU
rnacentral:rRNA from 1 species